UUUUUUAAGCUCCCCUACGAUCGUCACACUUUUUCUGUUACAAACUGACACCGGCCCCCCAUCAGAGAAGGGAAAAGUUAUGUGGCCCUCACAGGAAAAAGUUUGGGGACCCCUGCGUAGAGGCUCUUUCGAAAACACUUCAAAGCAGGGAGUCCAAAUCAAGUGCAUUGGCAACAGCUGAGGCAUACCCAAAACCAGUCAAAUCAGACAAACCUGUAGGGAAAUCAUUAGGUACAUUUAUUCAAGCUGUGUCACAUCAUUGCACCGAGAAGGAAAACAAGGUUGGUCCCGUACCAAUGGAGACGGUUCCGGACCGCCCAAAUAAAACAGCCAAAAAGAGGACUCGUUCAGAGUCAUGAGAAACUUGACCUGAUACCUUUGGGGAAACCGAAAUCCGGACGGGUAUGGAAGGACCGCAACAAGCAAAGGUUCUCUGCCCUUGUAAGAGACAAUCCACUGUGCUCCUCCUGGGAGAAGAUGGCAGCCAAGCGAGAGAAGGAGCUGUUAAAAAUAUUCCCUGUGUAACAGUAUAAUUUUAAACCGUCCCCUCGCCCAUACCCGGGCGCGAACCAGGAACCUUCUGCACAUCGACAACAGUCACCCACGAAGCAUCAUUACUCAUCGCUCCACAAAAGCCACGGCCCUUGCAGAGCAAGGGGAACUACUACUUCAAGGUCUCAGAGCUAGUGACGUAACCGAUUGAAACGCUAUUUAGCGCGCACCGCUAACUAAGCUAGCCGUUUCACAUCCGUUACACCUGCAACUGAAGGAGGACAAAGCCAGGGAUAAAGAGGUCUGUCACCUGUUCACAUGAGUGCACUAACAUCUUAAGAAGUAGGGAUUAAACCGCGUUCAAAACUGGAAACUGCAUUCAAGACAACUGGAAAAGAGGAAGCGGCAUGAGGAUAACUUGAAAAGGCGAGCUGAGAAUGAGAGGAAGGCCGAAGUUGUGCAAGUGAUCCGGAACACAACGAAGAUUGAGAAGAGGGACACACUCACCAUGCUGCAGAAAUCACGGCCCAGGAACCCAAAAGCUGCACAGAAAGGUGGCAAAGGGGACAAGUAGAGGGAGUGCUCAAGUUGACUGAUGGGACAUUCAGAAGCACCCCAUGUAGAUAUGAGAGAACUGGUCAUCUGCUACAUGCAAUGACCCGGUGUUGCAGUUCCGCCAGGAUAACAAGGCGAUCUUUCCAUCAAUAGGCUAGGUGGAAUUGACCAUAUUACUUCAUCUUUCGGAUGUGCCUAGGGCUGACAUGGCUAUGCUAACUGUGUGAGGCUGUUGGGACUGGAGAGCAUGAGCAGCAAACCCUUUAAAAACAAUUAACCAGCUGUGGAGCAUUGCCGACGCAAAAUGUGCCUCCUGUCUCUUGUGGAAAUCCAAAUGUAAGCUGGAACUCUUAUCAACUUGUAAUGCAAUGUUCCAUUAAACAAACCACAUUUAUAUCACAUCCCAACCUUUGUGGGGUCAUUAGAUUAUGCUUUUUGCCCACUUUAUUAGUGUGUUGCAUUAGAGGAAUAAUGUUAUAAAGCAAGUUUGCACUUCUC